rnacentral:tRNA from 1 species
GGGACUGUGGCUCUGUGGCUCAGAGCACUUGCCUUGCACGUAUGAAGCACUGGGUUCAAUCCUCAGCACCA